rfam:Steinernema glaseri strain NC unplaced genomic scaffold GLAS_7342, whole genome shotgun sequence.
CGGCGGCGGCUACUAAGAGAGCCAUCUGUUGACAGUUAGUGGCCAUUGUCUACUGUCAUGGAAUUGCUCUCUUAAGGAGACGUCGC